GUGAAUCAUCGAAUCUUUGAACGCACCUUGCGCUCCUUGGUAUUCCGAGGAGCAUGCCCGUUUGAGUGUCGUGAUAUCAUCAGGCCGACCCCCUCCUUUGCUGGCGGGGGUUAUGCUUGGACUUGGAUGUGCUGCCGGACGGCGACGCCCGGCUCAUCCCAAAUGCAUUAGCUGGAUUUAAUCCUGGCUUGGACUUUUGUUCUCACUCGGCGUUGAUUAAGAUCACCCGUCGAGGACGUCCCUCGCCCCAUGGACCGGCCUUCCAACCCGUCCCCUUGCGGACAGAUCACUUUGACAAUCUGACCUCAAAUUCGGGUAGGACUACCCGCUGAACUUAAGCAUAUCAAUAAGCGGAGG
rnacentral:rRNA from 1 species